rnacentral:rRNA from 1 species
CCUACGGGAGACAGCAGUGGGGAAUAUUGCACAAUGGGGGAAACCCUGAUGCAGCGACGCCGCGUGAGUGAAGAAGUAUUUCGGUAUGUAAAGCUCUAUCAGCAGGGAAGAAGAAAGACGGUACCUGACUAAGAAGCCCCGGCUAACUACGUGCCAGCAGCAGCGGUAAUACGUAGGGGGCAAGCGUUAUCCGGAUUUACUGGGUGUAAAGGGAGUGUAGGCGGUUUAGUAAGAUAGUGGUGAAAUCCCAGGGCUUAACUUUGGAAUUGCAAUUAUAACUAUUAGACUAGAAUUACAGAGAGGAUGGUGGAAUACCCAGUGUAGAGGUGAAAUUCGUAGAUAUUGGGUAGAACACCAGUGGCGAAGGCGACUAUCUGGCUGUACAUUGACGCUGAGGCUCGAAAGCAUGGGGAUCAAACAGGAUUAGAUACCCUGGUAGUC